rnacentral:rRNA from 1 species
GUGAGGAAUAUUGGUCAAUGGACGGAAGUCUGAACCAGCCAUGCCGCGUGCAGGAAUAAGGUCCUAUGGAUUGUAAACUGCUUUUAUUCGGGAAUAAACCUCUUUACGUGUAGGGAGCUGAAGGUACCGAAGGUAUAAGCACCGGCUAACUCCGUGCCAGCAGCCGCGGUAAUACGGAGGGUGCAAGCGUUAUCCGGAAUCAUUGGGUUUAAAGGGUCCGCAGGCGGGCUAUCAAGUCAGAGGUGAAAUCCCACAGCUUAACUGUGGAACUGCCUUUGAAACUGAUGGUCUUGAAUUAAGUGGGCGUUGGCGGAAUAUGACAUGUAGCGGUGAAAUGCAUAGAUAUGUCAUGGAACACCGAAAGCGAAGGCAGCUAACGAUACUUAUAUUGACGCUCAUGGACGAAAGCGUGGGUAGCGAACAGGAUUAGAUACCCUAGUAGUCC